CGAUGUUGGAAAUUUCUGAUAACCCGUUUCAAACGAAAUUACAAGUGGCGUUGCAUUAACGACUCUAUCUACAAAAUAAUUGCUCGGAGGGUCUUUGAAAGUAACUGCAUUUGAACAUUUCACCGAGUAAAGUUGAAAUUACAACCGAAGCGGAAAAUCUGCGAUCUCUGUUGGCUCUCAUCCAAAACUACCCAAGCUGCAGCCGUCAAGAGCUUCGCGCUACUUAUAUGCUGCGAAUGCUACUUAUGACACCUGAUGGCCAGAGUAUCAAAAAUGAAGCAUCUGCAGUUAGCGGUGAUCAUCAGGAAUGU
rnacentral:misc_RNA from 1 species